UCAUCUUCGGGGGUAGAGCACUGUUUCGGCGAGGGGGCCAUCCCGGCUUACCAACCCGAUGCAAACUACGAAUACCGAAGAAUGUUAUCACGGGAGACACACGGCGGGUGCUAACGUCCGUCGUGAAGAGGGAAACAACCCAGACCGCCAGCUAAGGUCCCAAAGUCAUGGUUAAGUGGGAAACGAUGUGGGAAGGCACAGACAGCCAGGAUGUUGGCUUAGAAGCAGCCAUCAUUUAAAGAAAGCGUAAUAGCUCACUGGUCGAGUCGGCCUGCGCGGAAGAUGUAACGGGGCUAAACCAUGCACCGAAGCUGCGGCAGCGACGCUUAUGCGUUGUUGGGUAGGGGAGCGUUCUGUAAGCCGUUGAAGGUGCUGGAGGUAUCAGAAGUGCGAAUGCUGACAUAAGUAACGAUAAAGCGGGUGAAAAGCCCGCUCGCCGGAAGACCAAGGGUUCCUGUCCAACGUUAAUCGGGGCAGGGUGAGUCGACCCCUAAGGCGAGGCCGAAAGGCGUAGUCGAUGGGAAACAGGUUAAUAUUCCUGUACUUGGUGUUACUGCGAAGGGGGGACGGAGAAGGCUAUGUCAGCCGGGCGACGGUUGUCCCGGUUUAAGCAUGUAGGCGGAGGUUCCAGGUAAAUCCGGUACCUUAUUAACGCUGAGGUGUGAUGACGAGGCACUACGGUGCUGAAGUGAUAAAUGCCCUGCUUCCAGGAAAAGCC
rnacentral:rRNA from 1 species